rnacentral:tRNA from 1 species
GUGGGUGUAGCUCAGCCUGGUAGAGCGCUUGACUGUGGCUCAAGCUGUCGCGGGUUCAAAUCCCGUCACCCACCCCA